rnacentral:rRNA from 1 species
CCUACGGGUGGCAGCAGUGGGGAAUAUUGGACAAUGGGCGCGAGCCUGAACCAGCCAAGUAGCGUGAAGGAUGACUGCCCUCCGGGUUGUAAACUUCUUUUGUAAAGGAAUAAAGUGAGGCACGUGUACCUUUUUGUAUGUACUUUAUGAAUAAGGAUCGGCUAACUCCGGUCCAGCAGCCGCGGUAAUACGGAGGAUCCGAGCGUUAUCUGGAUUUAGUGGGUUUAAAGGGCACGUAGAUGGGUUGUUAAGUCAGUUGUGAAAGUUUGCGGCUCAACCGUAAAAUUGCAAUUGAUACUGGCAGCCUUGAGUACAGUUGAGGGAGGCAGAAUUCGUGGUGUAGCGGUGAAAUGCGUAGAUAGCAGGAAGAACUCCGAUGGCGAAGGCAGCCUACUAAACUGACACUGACAUUGAUGCUCGAAAGUGUGGGUAUCAAACAGGAUUAGAUACCCUUGUAGUC